AUUACUCACGUUGAUCGAGUGAUCGAGUGUACUUCCGAAGACAAUCCGCGUCCGAGUGUUUUGACAAGCGGCGACCGCGGUUCCACAGGAGCGGAAGCUUGAGCCUUUUGACGAGCGACUGUGAAGAGUGCCAAUGCCAAACUUGGGAACCGUCGUGUUGGCACAGCGAGGAUGAUCAACAGAUACCCGAUAGGCAGCGAUGAGAGCUGUUCAUGGCACCGACACAGAGG